AACGAACGCUGGCGGCGCGCCUAAUACAUGCAAGUCGAACGAGAAGCUGUAGCAAUACAGUUGUACAGUGGCGAACGGGUGAGGAAUACAUGGGUGACCUACCCUCGAGUGGGGAAUAACCAGCCGAAAGGUUGGCUAAUACCGCGUACGCUUCCCAGUCUACGGGUUGGGAAGGAAAGCGAUGCCGUGGGUAUCGCGCUCAAGGUUGGGCUCAUGUCCUAUCAGCUGUUGGUGGGGUAACGGCUCACCAAGGCAACGACGGGUAGCUGGUCUGAGAGGACGAUCAGCCACACUGGCACUGCGACACGGGCCAGACUCCUACGGGAGGCAGCAGUAAGGAAUAUUGCGCAAUGGGCGAAAGCCUGACGCAGCGACGCCGC
rnacentral:rRNA from 1 species